CUAAGGUGUGUUCAAAAGAGUAAAACGAAAGUAUUUGUUUGAAUACAGGAGGCCCACCUUCUAGGUCUAAAUAUGCUUUUGAAACCAAUAGUGAACAAGUACCGUGAGGGAAAAGUGAAAAGAACCUUAACUAAGGAGUGAAAGAGAACCUGAAACAAAAAAUAACCAUGCAAUCGAUUUUCUCUGUACGGGAGGUCGGUGUACCUUUUGCAUAAUGGGUCAGCGAGUAAAUAAAAAAAGCGAGGCUUAAACGACGAAGUGGAGGCAAAGCAAAAGCGAGUAUGAAGAGUGCGUGUGUUUUUUUUAUUUGACCCGAAACUAAGUGAUCUCGUUUUGAGCAGGUUGAAGAAAGCGUAAAGUCUUUUGGAGGACCGAACCGACGUCUGUAGCAAUAGGCGCGGAUGACUUGAUACGAGGGGUGAAAGGCCAAUCAAACUUAGAAAUAGCUGGUUCUUCGCGAAAUUUAUUGAGGUAAAGCGUCUAUUAAAUCUUUCUGGGGGUAGAGCACUUAUUGAGCUAUGGGGGUCCAAAACCUUACUGCUCUCAAGGAAACUCCGAAUACCAUAUAACAUGAUGUGUGUGCAGUCAGACAUAUAGUGCUAAGGUUAUAUGUCGAAAGGGAAACAGCCCAGCCCAGCCGCUAAGGUCCCUAAGCUUUCUGUGAGUGGGAAAAGGAGUGAAACAACGUUGACAACUAGGAGGUUGGCUUGGAAGCAGCCAUUCUAUCAUGAAAGCGUAAUAGCUCACUAGUCGAGUUGUGUUGCGCUGAAAAUGUAUCGGGGCUGAACAGAAUCACCGAAGCGCCAGUUUUUAAGUAGCGAAGCGUUUUGUGCGCCAAUGAACAUACAUCGUAAGAUGUGUGGAAGGUCUCAAAAGUGACUAUGCUGACAUGAGUAACGAAAAAUCAUGUAAAACCAUGAUCGCCGUAAGUCCAAGGGUUUCUGCUAACUGGGAAUCAGUGCAGAGUUAAGUUCGGUCCCUAAGAGUUUGUAUACACUUAUACGCUCGAUGGAGGACGUUUAUGCAAGACGGCUAUUAUACACAAAUACUGCAAAAUGGAUACGGUGUAUGUGUGUUAUAGUCCAGGAAAAAAGCAUUAAUGCAAGACCGUACCCGAAACCGACACAGGUGGACGAGUCGAGUAGACUCAGGCGUUGAGAGAACCAUAUUGAAGGAACUCGGCAAAUUUUUCCUGUACCUUUGGAAGAAAGGAAGCCAAUUUUGGUGACACAAAAAUGGGGGUGACGACUUUUUACUAAAAAAUUAGGACUCUGCAAAAUGGUAACAUGCUGUAUAGGGUCUGACGUCUGCCCGGUGCUAGAAGUCUAAAAGGCGCAUUGCAAGAUGCAAAUGGAAAGCCUAGUAAACGGCGGUUGUAACUAUAACAAUCAUAAAGUAGCGAAAUUCAUUGUCAGCUAAUUCCUGACCUGCAUGAAAGGCGUAACGAUUGCCCCACUGUCUCCAGUAUGGACUCAGUGAAAUUGAAUUCUCCGUGCAGAUGCGGAGUACGUGCCCCAAGACGAGAAGACCCUGUGCAUCUUUACUGUACAUUUACAUUGACAAAACCAUACGUAUGUGUAGGAUAGGUGGGAGUACAAACAUCCUUGAAAUACCACCCUUACUACUGUCUCUUAUACACAUCUCCGAGCCCACGAGACGGACUCCUAUCUCG
rnacentral:rRNA from 1 species